rnacentral:lncRNA from 1 species
GACUUUACUUCGAACUUCUUCCAGACUUCGUCAAUGUCCGAGCUACUCCAACGGCAGGAUUUCUACGAUAACUAGACUCCAUCCAAAUUUCUACAGAGGUCGACCACCUUCCAGACUUCAUCCGAGCUCCUACAAGAGUCGAACUCCAUCCAAACUUCCACAGUGGACGGAUCACAGACAAUGGAUAGGUUCCACUAGUCGGACCUCUACUCCGAACUUCUUCGGGACUUCAUCAAUGAUCGAGCUUCUCCAGCAGUGGGACUUCUACAAUAAGAAGUCUCCAUCCGAGCUUCUAUGAUAAUCGGUCUUCGUCCGAGCUUCUACAAUAAGCAGACUCUUUUCAGACUCCUACAAAAGUCGGACUCCGUCCGAACUUUCGCAGUAGAAUUGAAUAUUGAAUCUUGGACCUCUCCGAUGGAUAAUCUUCAGAUGAGCUUCCACAUCAAAAAAAUCUCAGAUGGACUUCUCUAGCAAUUGGACUCCUACUGGACUUCACCAAUAGAAAGUCUCCGUUCGAACUUCUACAGCAGAUGACUCCCGUCUGUAGCAUCAGCACUCAAGGCAUCUGACAACAGCAGACUCGUCAGCAACCUCAAAAAUAUUCGAGCUUCUCCUGGAUUGCUGAGACAGAGAGCCAUUCCGCUCCAUC